UUUUGAUUUUGAAAAACAAGUGCGAGUUUAAAUUUAACCAAAUGUCUCAUCGUGAUUUUAAGAGUGAAGAAGGGGGCUCUAGGAAAUCUAGAAAACGAGCGGCAGAAAGGGAAGAAGAGCUUGAGUAUAGACGAGGCUCCCCAUCAUGAAGAACCUCCAUCAGUCGUGCACAACAAUUCAGGUUUAGAAUUUACUCGAGAAACUGAAACACACCAAAUACAAUAUUUACAACCUGAUGGUGGAUAUGUGAAUUCUGAUUCUGAUUGCAAUGAUGACUACGAUGUUGAAAAUGAAGAGCCCCUUUCAGCUUAUCUUCCCAUAUUGAGUGUGGCAUUCUAUCUUUCAAAUAGCUUGACAAAAAAAGCACUUGGUCAUCAUAUUAGAAUUUUCAAUAUAUCAACACACGGUGCCUAUAAACAACUCACUAGUGUACAUAACUUGAUGUCCAAAUACAAUCAUUUAAA